rnacentral:rRNA from 1 species
GACGAACGCUGGCGGCGUGCCUAAUACAUGCAAGUAGAACGCUGAAGGAGGAGCUUGCUUCUCUGGAUGAGUUGCGAACGGGUGAGUAACGCGUAGGUAACCUGCCUGGUAGCGGGGGAUAACUAUUGGAAACGAUAGCUAAUACCGCAUAAGAGUAGAUGUUGCAUGACAUUUGCUUAAAAGGUGCAAUUGCAUCACUACCAGAUGGACCUGCGUUGUAUUAGCUAGUUGGUGGGGUAACGGCUUACCAAGGCGACGAUACAUAGCCGACCUGAGAGGGUGAUCGGCCACACUGGGACUGAGACACGGCCCAGACUCCUACGGGAGGCAGCAGUAGGGAAUCUUCGGCAAUGGACGGAAGUCUGACCGAGCAACGCCGCGUGAGUGAAGAAGGUUUUCGGAUCGUAAAGCUCUGUUGUAAGAGAAGAACGAGUGUGAGAGUGGAAAGUUCACACUGUGACGGUAUCUUACCAGAAAGGGACGGCUAACUACG